rnacentral:rRNA from 1 species
CGGGCGACAGCUGCUGCGAGGGGGCUGCACCAUGGUCAGUCGGGGCUGCAUUGGACGUCGGGUCCAGUGCAAGGAGCAUGGCGUUGGGGUGCUAUCAUACUACGGUGAUUGCUCACUCGGAAGCGGCGACUGGUGUGGGAUCACCCUUGAUGAACCCGUGGACGGCGGGCAUGACGGCAAGG